UACGGAGGAUACAAGCGUUAUCCGGAUUUAUUGGGUGUAAAGGGUGCGUAGGCGGUUUAAUAAGUCUAAGGUCUAAGGCCGAAGCUUAACUUCGGUUCGCCUUGGAAACUGUUUUACUUGAGUAUGGUAGAGGCAAGUGGAAUUUCUAGUGUAGCGGUAAAAUGCGUAGAUAUUAGAAGGAACAUCAGUGGCGAAGGCGACUUGCUGGGCCAUCACUGACGCUGAGGCACGAAAGCGUGGGGAGCAAAUA
rnacentral:rRNA from 1 species